rnacentral:rRNA from 1 species
UAGGGAAUCUUCGGCAAUGGACGAAAGUCUGACCGAGCAACGCCGCGUGAGUGAAGAAGGUUUUCGGAUCGUAAAACUCUGUUGUUAGAGAAGAACAAGGACGUUAGUAACUGAACGUCCCCUGACGGUAUCUAACCAGAAAGCCACGGCUAACUACGUGCCAGCAGCCGCGGUAAUACGUAGGUGGCAAGCGUUGUCCGGAUUUAUUGGGCGUAAAGCGAGCGCAGGCGGUUUCUUAAGUCUGAUGUGAAAGCCCCCGGCUCAACCGGGGAGGGUCAUUGGAAACUGGGAGACUUGAGUGCAGAAGAGGAGGGUGGAAUUCCAUGUGUAGCGGUGAAAUGCGUAGAUAUAUGGAGGAACACCAGUGGCGAAGGCGGCUCUCUGGUCUGUCACUGACGCUGAGGCUCGAAAGCGUGGGGAGCAAACAGG